rnacentral:rRNA from 1 species
AGUGAACGCUGGCGGUAGGCCUAACACAUGCAAGUCGAACGGCAGCACAGUAAGAGCUUGCUCUUACGGGUGGCGAGUGGCGGACGGGUGAGGAAUACAUCGGAAUCUACUUUUUCGUGGGGGAUAACGUAGGGAAACUUACGCUAAUACCGCAUACGACCUACGGGUGAAAGCAGGGGAUCUUCUGACCUUGCGCGAUUGAAUGAGCCGAUGUCGGAUUAGCUAGUUGGCGGGGUAAAGGCCCACCAAGGCGACGAUCCGUAGCUUGUCUGAGAGGAUGAUAGGCCACACUGGAACUGAGACACGGUCCAGACUCCUACGGGAGGCAGCAGUGUGGAAUAUUGGACAAUGGGCGCAAGCCUGAUCCAGCCAUACCGCGUGGGUGAAGAAGGCCUUCGGGUUGUAAAGCCCUUUUGUUGGGAAAGAAAAGCAGCAGGUUAAUACCCCGCUGUUCUGACGGUACCCAAAGAAUAAGCACCGGCUAACUUCGUG